UGGCAUAGUAGUUAAGUGCUAUGGCUGCUAACCAAAAGGUCGGCAGUUCGAAUCUGCC
rnacentral:tRNA from 1 species